GGGAUACAACCACAUUCAUAUUGAAUCAAUUUGGACUGUCUGACUUUGGUUUACCUAUUGCCUUGCAGUGUCUGGCAGCACUGUGUUCCUGUUAGAGCCACCAGCACAAGCACCAGACGAUGCUGAUCCAGGUGAAGGCCCCAGUGCAGCAGCAACAGCACAUGAUGGAGACGAUGAUGAUGAGGAGGAGACCAUCUCUCUGGAUUCCAGAAGGCAUGAGGUAUCAUGGACCCAGAUGCUAUACAGUGGGAAAACCAGCCUGGCAACAUAAGCUCACAAGCUAUCAGAAAGUUGUAUGGCAACCACCUCCGGCGCCAAAUAGAACUGGCAGACAUAGACAUUCAG